rnacentral:rRNA from 1 species
AUUGAACGCUGGCGGCAUGCUUUACACAUGCAAGUCGAACGGUAACGGGCCGCAAGGUGCUGACGAGUGGCGAACGGGUGAGUAAUGCAUCGGAACGUGCCCAGUCGUGGGGGAUAACUACUCGAAAGAGUAGCUAAUACCGCAUACGAUCUAUGGAUGAAAGCGGGGGACCGUAAGGCCUCGCGCGAUUGGAGCGGCCGAUGUCAGAUUAGGUAGUUGGUGGGGUAAAGGCUCACCAAGCCAACGAUCUGUAGCUGGUCUGAGAGGACGACCAGCCACACUGGGACUGAGACACGGCCCAGACUCCUACGGGAGGCAGCAGUGGGGAAUUUUGGACAAUGGGCGCAAGCCUGAUCCAGCAAUGCCGCGUGCAGGAAGAAGGCCUUCGGGUUGUAAACUGCUUUUGUACGGAACGAAACGGCUCUGGUUAAUACCCGGGGCUAAUGACGGUACCGUAAGAAUAAGCACCGGCUAACUACGUG